rnacentral:lncRNA from 1 species
AGACCACCAAACAGGCUUUGUGUGAGCAGCAUGGCUGUUUAUUUCACCUGGGGGCAGGCGGGCUGAGUCCGAAAAGAGAGCCAGUGAAGGGAGAUAGGGGUGGGGCCAUUUUAUAGGAUUUGGGUAGGUAAAGGAAAAUUACAGUCAAAGGGGGGUUGUUCUCUGGCGGGCAGGAGUGGGGGUCGCAAGGUGCUCAGUGGGGGUGAUUUUUGAGCCAGGAUGAGCCAGGAAAAGGACUUUCACAAGGUAAUGUCAUCACUUAAGGCAAGGACCGGCCAUUUACACUUCUUUUGUGGUGGAACAUCAUCAGUUAAGGUGGGGCAAGGCAUACUCACUUCUUCUGUGAUUCUUCAGUUACUUCAGGCCAUCUGGGCGUAUACGUGCAAGUCACAGGGGAUGCGAUGGCUUGGCUUGGGCUCAGAGGCCUGACAUUCCUGCCUUCUUAUAUUAAUAAGAAAAAUAAAACAAAAUAGUGUUGAAGUGUUGGGGCGGUGAAAACUUUUGGGGCUUGGUAUGGAGAGAGAAUGGGCGAUGUUUCUCAGGCCUGCUUCAAGCGGGAUUAGGGGCGGCGUGGGAACCUAGAGUGGGAGAGAUUAAGCUGAAGGGAGGUCUUGUGGUAAGGGGUGAUAUUGUGGGGAUGUUAGAAGAAACAUUUGUCAUAUAGAAUGAUUGGUGAUGGCCUAGAUACGGUUUUGGAUGAAUUGAGAAACUAAAUGGAAUAACAGAAGGAGAAAGACAGGUAUAAAAGGUCUAAGAAUUGGGACGACUCAGAAUAUCUGAUUAGAGAGUGCCUAAGGAGAUUCAGCAUAGUCCUGCCAGCAAAGAUUAUUUAUUUACUUCAAGAGUUAAGAGUGGCAGUUUGGGGAUAGCACCAGGAGAUAUCAGCUGUGAUGGCUUGGAGAAACAGUGUAAACCGGCAGUGUAAACAAGAGCAGGGCGUGUAUGAGUAGUCGAGAACGGUGAAUAGGAGUAUGACUAGACAGAAGAUAGUAGUGAUGACAAGUUUUUUGGGGCACAGUCUACGUUGGUCUGGUGUCUGGAAUGAGACUGGGGCCUAAUAAAAAGGAGCGUCUAUACAGGAACUUAAAUGGGCUGUACCCUGUAGCAUUCCAAGGACAGGCCUGAAUUCUGAGAAGGGAAAGUGGUAAAAGUAUUGUCCAGUCCUUUUUAAGUUGGUGGCUGAGCUUGGUGAGGUGUGUUUUUAAAAGACCUUUAGUCCAUUCUACUUUUCUUGAAGACGGAGGACCGUAAGGGAUAUAAAGGUUGCACUGAAUACUAAGAGCCUGAAAAACUGCUUGGCUGAUUUGACUAAUAAAGGCUCGUCCGUUAUCAGACUGUAUUGAGGUGGGAAGGCUAAACUGAGGAAUUAUGUCUGACAGAACGGAAGAAAUGACUGCGGUGGCCUUCUCAGACCCUGUAGGAAAGGCCUCUACCUAUCCAGUGAAAGUAUCUACCUAGACUAAGAGGUAUUUUAGUUAUCUGACUCAGGGCAUGUUGAGCAAAGCUAAUUUGCCAGUCCUGGGUGGGGCAAAUCCUCGAGCUUGACGUGUAGGGAAGGGAGGGGGCCUGAAUAAUCCCUAAGGAGUAGUAGAAUAGCAGAUGGAACACUGAGAAGUUAUUUCCUUGAGGAUAGACUUCCACGAUGGAAAGGAAAUGAGAGGUUCUAAGAGGCAGGCUAGUGGCUUGUACUAUAGCAUAGCCUGCCUUUGCUGGUGUGUGGCGAUUAGGCCUGUUGGAACUGCCAUCAAUAAAUCAAGUGUGAUCAGGGUGAGCAACAGGAAGGAAGGAAAAAUGGGGAAAUGGGGUGAAUGUCAGGUGGAUCAGAGAGAUACAGUCAUGGGGGUCAGGUCUGGUAUCAGGAAUAAUGUGGGAGGCCGGAUUCAAGUCUGGGCCAGGAACAAUGGUAACUGUGGGAGACUCAACAAAGAGUGAGUAUAGCUGAAGGAGCCGGGAAGCAGAAAGUAUAUGCGUCAGGUAUGAGGAAGAAAAUAGAUUUUGGAAGUUAUGAGAACUGUGGAGAGUGAGUUGAGCAUAGUUUGUGAUUUUGAGGGCCUCUAAAAGUAUUAAAGCAGCGGCAGCUGCUGCACACAGACAUGAGGGCUAGGCUAAAACAGUAAGGUCAAGUUGUUCGGACAGAAAGUCUACAGGGUGUGGUCCUGGCUCUUGUGUAAGAAUUCUGACCGUGCUAACCAUGCCUAGGAAGGAAAGGAGUUGUUGUUUUCUAGAAGGUGCUUGGGUUUGAGAGAUCAGUCGGACAUGACUGGCAGGGAGAGCACGUGUGUUUUUAUGAGAAUUAUGCCGAGAUAGGUAACAGAUGAGGAAGAAAUUUGGGCUUCAUUGAAGUAAUGGGGGCUGUCUGUGAAGCUUUGCGGCAGUACAGCCUAGGUAAUUUGCUGAGCUUGAUGGGUGUCAGGGUCAGUCCAAGUGAAAGUGAAGAGAGGCUGGGAUUAAGCGUGCAAAGGAAUAGUAAAGAAAGCAUGUUUGAGAUCUAGAACAGAAUAAUGGGUUGUAGAGGCAGGUAUUGAGGAUAGGAGAGUAUAUGGGUUUGGCAGCACGGGGUGGAUAGGCAGAACAAUUUGGUUGAUAAGGCGCAGAUCCUGAACUAACUUGUAAGGCUUGUCUGGUUUUAGGACAGGUAAAAUGGGGGAAUUGUAAGGAGAGUUGAUAGGCUUUAAAAGGCCAUGCUCUAGCAGGCGAGUGAUAACAGGCUUUAAUCUUUUUAAAGCAUGCUGCCAGAUGGGAUAUUGGCGUUGAGUGGGCUAAGGGUGAUUAGGUUUUAAUGAGAUGGUAAGGGGUGCAUGAUCGGUCGCCAAGGAGGGAGUAGAGGUAUCUUAUACUUGUGGGUUAAGAUGGGGGAAUACAAGAGGAGGACGCAAAGGAGGCUUUGGAUUGGGAAGAAGGGCAUCAAUGAGAUGCGGCUAUAAUCCAGGAACAGUCAGGGAAGCAGAUAAUUUGGUUAAAAUAUGUCGGCCUAAUAAGGGAACUGGGCAGGUGGAGAUAACUAAAAAAGAGUGCAUAAAAGAGUGUUGUCUAAGUUGGCACCAGAGUUGGGGAGUUUUAAGAGGUUUAGAAGCCUGGCCGUCAAUACCCACAACAGUUAUGGAGGCAAGGGAAACAGGCCCUUGAAAAGAAGGUAAUGUGGAGUGGGUAGACUCCGUAUUAAUUAAGAAGGGGACGGACUUACCCUCCAUUGUGAGAGUUACCUGAAGCUCGGCGUCCGUGAUGGUCUAGGGGGCUUCUGAGGCGAUUGGGCAGCGUCAGUCUUCAGCCGCUAAGCCAAGAAGAUCUGGGAAGCAGUCAGAGAGCCUUGGGCCAGAGUUCCAGGGGCUCUGGGAGUGGCUGCCAGGUGAGUUGGACAGUCCGAUUUCCAGUGGGGUCCCGCACACAUGGGAUGUGGCUUAGGAGGAAUCCUGGGCUGCAGGCAUUCCUUGGCCUGGUGGCCACAUUUCUGGCACUUAUAGCAAGCUCCUCGGGGAGGAGGUUCUGGAGGAAUGCCUGGCCGCUGCGGUUCAGGCGUUUGGAAGUUCUUGUGUGCUGGAGAUGUGGCUGGGGUUUGUCUCACAGUGGAGGCAAGGAAUUGCAACUUUUUUCUAUUAUUGUACACUUUGAAGAGUGAUACAUGAAGUAUUCAGGACACUUCUGAGAAAAGAAGGGGAGAACCAAGAAAAAUCUCUGCUACUAAAGCAUGAAGACUAUGAACAUGAAGGGAGAUGACCUCAUCUGUAAGAGGGCUGACUUUCAAUAGAUGGCAGCGAGGGAGCUGCUCUGCUACGUACAAAACCAUGAAUGCUCUCUUUUCAUUUCCAUUUUCAUGAGUUAUAAAGAACAAAUUUAUUUCUCACAGUUCUGGAGGCUGGGUAGUUCAAGAUCAAGGUGCCAGCAUCUAAUGAGGACCUUCUUGCUGUGCCAUCUCAUGGUGGAAGUUAGAAGGAAACGAGAGCGUGAGAGAGAGAGAGAAAGUAAAACAAGGUAGAAUAUCUGUUUUCUGGAAAGACUGAGCAAGAUGUAUGCAUUAUUGCUUCAGGAGACUGUACAAUGUUGGAAUUUCAGGUUGCCUGCUAGAAGGGGAUUGAUUAUCUGGAUGGAAACACGACAUAUUUUUCUGGUUACAGAAUAUACCAAGGAAAAUGAGAGCAUCCCAAAUGAGAUAAUGUAGAGUGGUCCAAGACAUUCGACUGGGCUGUCUCCAAAACUUAUAAGAAGUGUAUGGCAAACAUCUUUUAAUUUCCUUUGAAUGAGAAGAUUAAGAGGGAAGAAACUAAACUGUGCUCUAAUGUCAAUAGUUUAAAAUGUUAUCAUGCUAAAAAUGACACAAAGGAACGAUUCAAAAGAAGUCGAUGAUUAUUCUAUAGGUAUUACUAUUAUUAUUUGAAUAGCGGUGUAAAUUGUAACAUAGGAAUUUGCAGAACUUUAAAUCUAAUUAAUGAAAAAUAAACCUUAUAUCUAAUGUAAGCUGAUACCUAAAUUUCAGCCCAAUAUAGGACAUGUUCUCAAUUUCUCACACUUACAGGCCAGUUACACUUUGUUUUAUCUCUCAUUAAAUCUUUUAUAUCAUUUUAAAACCUUAAUAAUUUUUAUGAAAAAUGUCUGGAUGAAACGAAAAUGUUAAAGUUUCAUAUGCCUUAUGCAUUAAGCAGAAAAUUUCCAAUUCAGACUUUUCUCACAGAUGUGUUUAAGUUGGCCUCUGCUCCUAGCAGGUAAAUUACCAAAUAGAGAAGCAAGUAUUAGCUUACAGGAUUUUUAAAAUUUAUUGUUAAAUUUGCAUAUAGAAAAAUUCACUUUUGUGCUGUACUUUUAUAGUAAAGAUUUACCCCUACCCCAACUCCUGGCAACACACUGUUCUUGAUCCCUGUAGUUUUGUUUUUUCCAGAGUGACACGUAAAUGGAAUCUUAUGUAAUCAUAUGUAAACUUUUGAAUGUGGCUUAUUGCCCUUAGCAUACGUAUUUGAGAUCUAUGCAUGUUGUUAUGGGUAUCAGGAGUUCAAUUACUUUUAUUACUGAGUAGUAUUCCAUUGUAUGGUUGUGCCAGUUUUACUAUCUCCCACUUGAGACACAUUUGAGUUGUUUCCAGUUUGCCACUAUUUUGAGUAAAGCUGCU